AACGAACGCUGGCGGCGUGCCUAACACAUGCAAGUCGAACGGAAUUGAGGGGCUUGCUCUUCAAUUUAGUGGCGCACGGGUGAGUAACGCGUAGAUAAUCUGCCUGAUGAUCUGGGAUAACACUUCGAAAGAGGUGCUAAUACCGGAUAAGACCACGGAGUCUUUGGACUCUGCGGUAAAAGGUGGGGACCUUCGGGCCUACCGUCAUCGGAUGAGUCCGCGUACCAUUAGCUAGUUGGUGGGGUAAUGGCCUACCAAGGCUACGAUGGUUAGCUGGUCUGAGAGGAUGAUCAGCCACACUGGAACUGAGACACGGUCCAGACUCCUACGGGAGGCAG
rnacentral:rRNA from 1 species